AGUCUUGGCCAUUUAACUUGUGUCUUCAGCAUGCCCAUGUAGUGCAACACAUUUUUGCCUCUUGGUUAUUAAGACCGGCCAUAAAAAUCCAUUUUAAAUGGUGACUUAAGAAAUGCAUCCUUGUCAAUAAACAUGAAUUUGUAGCCUUAGUCAUCUUUGAUGAUUAAAAUAUAUGGUUGCGUAACAUAAAACGGUAUUAAUUAUUCAGUCUAAGUGCUCUAUUCUGAUAUUUUUUUUGUACUUAUACACACAUUUUCUCUUCCUAGGUACCUUUUUAAUGCCGAAAUGGACACACUAAUUGUGAGCUGUGUGAGGAAGAACUAAGAAGUCAAGGUUAUUCAACAGAAAUGAAUGAAUACAGCCUGGAAAGAUCACUGCUGGGAAUAUUGAAUAGCGUCGGGCCUAGUGCUGAUGCCUGCUGGAUACCAUUAGAAACAAUUCAGUGUUAAUAUUCUUUUUAACAUAACUUUUGAAGAUCUGCUGGCCAGCUCUUAAUUGAAAUUGUGAUCGUUGAUGCUAUGUAGUAAAUAUAUUUUUUUUUCUUAAUAAAAAUAU